UACGUAGGGGGCAAGCGUUGUCCGGAAUCAUUGGGCGUAAAGCGCGUGUAGGCGGUUACGUAAGUCUGCUGUGAAAGUCGGAGGCUCAACCUUCGAAAGCCGGUGGAUACUGCGUGACUAGAGUACGGAAGAGGAAAGUGGAAUUCCUGGUGUAGCGGUGAAAUGCGCAGAUAUCAGGAAGAACACCAAUGGCGAAAGCAGCUUUCUGGGACGGUACUGACGCUGAGACGCGAAAGCGUGGGGAGCGAACAGG
rnacentral:rRNA from 1 species